rnacentral:rRNA from 1 species
CCUACGGGAUGCAGCAGUGAGGAAUAUUGGUCAAUGGACGAGAGUCUGAACCAGCCAAGUAGCGUGAAGGAUGACUGCCCUCUGGGUUGUAAACUUCUUUUAUAUGGGAAUAAAACAGGGUAUGCAUACCCUCUUGUAUGUACCAUAACAAUAAGGAUCGGCUAACUCCGUGCCAGCAGCCGCGGUAAUACGGAGGAUCCGAGCGUUAUCCGGAUUUAUUGGGUUUAAAGGGAGCGUAGGUGGAUUGUUAAGUCAGUUGUGAAAGUUUGCGGCUCAACCGUAAAAUUGCAGUUGAAACUGGCAGUCGUGAGUACAGUAGAGGUGGGCGGAAUUCGUGGUGUAGCGGUGAAAUGCUUAGAUAUCACGAAGAACUCCGAUUGCGAAGGCAGCUCACUGGACUGCAACUGACACUGAUGCUCGAAAGUGUGGGUAUCAAACAGGAUUAGAUACCCCUGUAGUC